rnacentral:rRNA from 1 species
CGGACGGGUGAGUAAUGUCUGGGAAACUGCCUGAUGGAGGGGGAUAACUACUGGAAACGGUAGCUAAUACCGCAUAACGUCGCAAGACCAAAGAGGGGGACCUUAGGGCCUCUUGCCAUCGGAUGUGCCCAGAUGGGAUUAGCUAGUAGGUGGGGUAACGGCUCACCUAGGCGACGAUCCCUAACUGGUCUGAGAGGAUGACCAGCCACACUGGAACUGAGACACGGUCCAG